CAAGUCUCUGUAUAAAAUCAAUUGCAUUCCACCCCAAAUUGGAGACCCUCUCUUAGGUGACUGCUUUCUCAGUAUGAAAAAGCUUUUUCUCUCUCUCUUCUUUUUUAUCUGUUAAAUUUUUCACUCCUAAACCCACUCUUUAUGUGUUUCCAUGUCCUGAAUUCUUUCUAGUGUGUGACAAAGAACCAUGGAUAGAUUCCCAAACAGAGCCAUUUUAUUUGGGAGUUCUUAUCCGGGAUUGUGAUCAGAAGAUAGAAACAUCAGAAUG
rnacentral:lncRNA from 10 species